rnacentral:rRNA from 1 species
GACGAACCGUGCGAACGUUGUUCGGAAUCACUGGGCUUAAAGGGCGCGUAGGCGGCAAAUCAAGUCCGGGGUGAAAGCCCUCAGCUCAACUGGGGAAGUGCCUCGGAUACUGGCUUGCUGGAGGGAGGUAGGGGUCGAGGGAACUUCUGGUGGAGCGGUGAAAUGCGUUGAUAUCAGAAGGAACGCCGGUGGCGAAAGCGCUCGACUGGACCUUUUCUGACGC